rnacentral:rRNA from 1 species
UACGAAGGGGGCUAGCGUUGUUCGGAAUUACUGGGCGUAAAGCGCACGUAGGCGGAUAUUUAAGUCAGGGGUGAAAUCCCGCAGCUCAACUGCGGAACUGCCUUUGAUACUGGGUAUCUUGAGUAUGGAAGAGGUAAGUGGAAUUCCGAGUGUAGAGGUGAAAUUCGUAGAUAUUCGGAGGAACACCAGUGGCGAAAGCGGCUCUCUGGAACGGUACUGACGCUCAUGCACGACAGCGUGGGGAUCAAACAGG